CCUAGCCUUCAGAGGGGGACAACAGUUGGAAACGACUGCUAAUACCGCAUACGAUCUAACCUCGGCAUCGAGGAUGGAUGAAAGGUGGCCUCUAUUUAUAAGCUAUCACUGAAGGAGGGGAUUGCGUCUGAUUAGCUAGUUGGAGGGGUAACGGCCCACCAAGGCGAUGAUCAGUAGCCGGUCUGAGAGGAUGAACGGCCACAUUGGGACUGAGACACGGCCCAG
rnacentral:rRNA from 1 species